rnacentral:lncRNA from 1 species
CGCAAAAUCUGUCUGAGACAGAGCAGUAACUCCGGACAAAAAUCACAAACUUAAAACUCGACCGGUAACUGGCGCUCGUCAGCUCCAAACGAAUCUCGCGCACGAGCUCCGAAAUGGACUCAAAUUGAUGAAAUUCUAGCAGCAAAAUGAGGCUUAAGAAUUGAAAUUAUUUUCCAACAGCAAUUUCAGAGACAAAAGUUUUC